rnacentral:lncRNA from 1 species
AGUGAUGCAAUCAUUUCCCAUGAUACAUUAUGAUGAUGCACAACUUGAACAAAGGAAAAACAAACUCACAUUGUCGGACUCCACGGUGCCACUUGGAGGUGCAUUGCGUACUUGCUCCAAGCAAGCUGCACAUAGGCUUGAUAUUCUCCCAACGCCCUUGAAGUGAUCGAAAUGUGCGUGCAGUCCUAAUGCGGAAAUAUUGAUCUUCGAUCCUUUGCCAAUAUCUCUUGGCGGUUUGAGAAACACCCAUGCA